AAAGAAACCUGCAUUGUGUAAUUCAUGUGUAAGAUGAUCAGUAUUCUACAACCUCUGUAAUAGGUCAUUAUUUUGAGUACUGACCAAAUUGUAUCAUUAAGGAAAAGCUUUCACGAACCAUACUCCAAGAGAGACUUAGGUUUAUGCGUUGAUACCUGUCCUGUUCCUGUACACCUAAAAUCAUCAUUGCAGAGAAAGAGCACAGUUUGGCCUUAAACUUGGGGGAAUUAAUAUAAGUCAGGUGCCUAGCACUGAAUAUAUCAAAACUCCUGUCUGAAUCAGUACCACAAUUGUCUGGUAAACAUCUUCAGGUAUGAGUGUAUGUAUGCACUCGGAAUGUCAUAGCUAGGGUCAAAAGUGAGAACUUCUUGUCUUCAAGAGUGAUGAUGACUGAAAGUCAUGAUCAAAAAGAUUAUGAUAAAGACAAACUCAUAGGUGAAGGUGAAAUUCUGGGAUAGGAUUGUCGGAACAUGUUGGAACUCAUUACUUUUCUCUAGGCAUUUUAUUUGGGGCUUGAGACAAGGAAUUCUUGAAAGAAACUCAUGUUACCCAAUCCUGUCCAUGCGCUCAAAAGUGAAAAAUAAAUGUUCCUUCUAUAAACUUUGUUUCAGGGAUUUAUAAUUCUUAAGAGCUGGGAACAUUCAAGAUUCAGUCCUUCCCUGUUUUUCUUUCAAUGUGUCUUUGAGUAAGACAUCUUACCAAGGGUUGAAACACUGCAUUGAUAGUAUAUUUCUGGUUUUCUUUGGUCACAGAUAUAUGCCAAAAAGCAAUUGACUGGAGAAGAUGCUCUUCUAGGGCAUACAAGUUUACACAUUACAACACAUCCUCAGAUGAAGAUUCCCCGCCCCCAUAUGCACAUAUGUCAGCUUGGCUCCAGGAAUAGGCAAAAACUCAUGUGGCACCCGGGUUUCCUGCUUUCCAGAAACCAUCUCUGCGGGAUUUCAUGACCAGGGUCUCAUCGUUGACUCCACCAUGUGAGACAAUUUAGAUGGUGCCUUGCCCAAAGAAGAUCAGAGCUCCUCUUCCAUACACACUCUUGCCAAUAAAGUUCACAUCUUUGGAAACCAGGAAGCAUCUCUCCAUAAGGCCCCACUGGACUGAUGGUCAGGAAGAAAUGAGUGGAC